GUGGAGCCGACCUGCCAUUGGGUAAACGCAAGGGAGGAGAAAAGGUGGGGCAGGGGUGAUUUGGGUGGAUGGAUAGGAGGGCUUCCGACCUGCGUUAGGCGGGUCAGUUAAUCUUCAGUAACUCCUUGAUGCGUUUGAUAGUCCUCCCAACUUAAGCCUUCCUUACUGCCUCCAGGAGAUACAGUCUUCUGUUCUUUUUGUCAUAGUUGUUUAUUUUUCAUGAAUCGCUGUUUUUGAGCAUAGGGCACUUACCUCUUUCUGUGUCCCCAGCCCUACCACAGUGCCAGGCUCUCAAUAUGCUCGAUAAAUAUUAGGCGAUUGAUUUGUAAAUCGUGUAUCAUUUUCAUGUAUCUAAUACUUUUUUAAAAAUUGAUUAAAGCCCAUAAGCCCAUAUUUUAUUCCAGAUGUCCUUAGUUUUCGACCUGGUAUUCUUUUCCAUUCCAGGAUCCUGUCCGGAGUACAUCACCAUGUCUUCCAGGCUCCUCUGGACCGUGACCGUUUCUCAAACUUUCCUUGUUUUUGAUAACCUUAAUAGUUUUGAAGCGACUUAUUGGUCAUUUGGUCAAAUGUCCUUCAAUUGGGUUUUGCCUGUAUUUUUCUCAUGCAUUAACUGAGGUUAUGGGUUUUUCUUGAGUUAAGAGGUAAGGUAAAGUGAUCUUCUCAUCACAUCACAUCAAGGGUAUAUACUAUCAACAUGACUUAUUACUGUUGAUGCUAACCUUUAUCACCAUUAUUACAGUGUCAUACAGAAAAGUUUUAUAGUUCUACAAAGAUCCCCUUUGUUUCAUCUAGUAAGCCCUUCCACCUCCCUAUGUAGGGUUUGUCAGGUUUCUCCACUGUGAAGUUACUGUUUUUCUUUUCCUCUCCAUACUAUACUAUUUGGAAGGACAUCUCUCUGUGCAGCCCAAACUAUAGGAAUGGGAAAUUGUUAUACUCCACCUUUAUGAGGACAGAAUAUCUUCAUGAAUUAUUUGGAAUUCUUCUGCAUGGGAGAUUUGUCUGUACUGCAUUUAUUUAUGUAUUCAAUCAUUUAUGUCAGUAUGGACUCAUGGAUAUUUAUUUUACAUUUUGGGUUAUAAUCCAAUACUACUUUAUUUUGUUGUUCAUAUUGGUUCCAGCUUUGGCUAUUGAGAUUUCCUUUAGUUGGCAUUUGUGUCUUUUUGACAAACCCUCCUCGUUUUAUGUUUAUUGAUUUUUUUUCUUGAGCAUUUUCUUAAUUUCUAUAAGUUGCUCCAGGCUCAUCUUGUAUAUUCCCUGCCCCAAUCCUAGAAUCAGCUGCUUCCCCAAAAAGCCAAGGGUACUUUUAAUGGAAAAUGAUAUUAGAAAUCAAGAUUUGGACAUUUGGGAUGUUGUUGCUUCUAGACACUCUCAGCUGACAGAGCAAGGAAAUAUUUGUGGAUAUGCUAACCUGACUAAAUACGCAUAUCUGCUCCAUACCUACCUAACAUCUAUCUUCUCAAGAACUCUGCCAGGGAAGGAGUAGUUUCUGUGUUUCAUAAACAGACUGAGACUCAAAGAGGCUAAGUAAACUACCUGAAGCCAUAUAUAGCAACACACAAUGACGGAUGUGAGAUUCAAACUUGGAUUUAUCUGGCUCCAAAAUUUCUAGUUUUUUUUUUUUUUUUUUUCCCACUACAGCAAAACUAAGGAGAAGAGACAGAGGUGAAUAGCUGUCUCUCAGUGGUUAUUCUGUUUUCCCUUAUCUACAUGUUUUCCUCCUUUCACUCUCUCUUGGUUUGUUCUUAUCCUUCAGAGGUAAAGAGGAGCCUUCAGAGAGCUAUAAAGGUUGAUCAAAGUACCAGAUUAUGAGAUUAUUUGGAGGCUAAUAUGUAAUCCUUGGGGUUUCCUUUCUCAUCUCACCCUUACAGCUGCCUGUAUUAAUGCUUUCUGAUUAACAUAUGGUCUCCUUUUUAUUCUAGAAAACACUAGAUCUGAAUAACAAAGGAUGCAUACUUAAGCAAACUAAGGCAUAUAUAGUUAUCACUAAAUGCUCAACCUGGAAAGAAUACUGGAUUGCAGUCUGCUUUUUCUGUAAAGACAAUAGUAUUAUAAAACCGAAAGAGACAACAGGGAAUAUUUCCCACUCAACUAAGCAUAUCUAAAAGCACAUUUGAAGUUUGGAGACAAUAUUCUGUGUUAUUUUAAGAAAAGAUUCUAUAGCAUUAUUACCUGGUGGUAAGAAAAUAACAUGUAAAAGAAAAGGUAAUAAGAAUAAAAAAAAUAAGUAAAAGUAUGUGAACAUGCUAGACCUGGUUAUACAACUCAACUGUUGAGAAUGCAUUUUUGAAGUUGCCUGCAUGGUUGCUGCAAGCGUUCUUCAGUAUUUAGUAUAUGAAGACAGGCAUAUGCUCUGGCCAUUUCCAGAAAAGCCAAGGCUAUCCUGUAUAUUCUAGCCAUCUGUUGUUAGGUGAAAUGCGUGAAUGGCAUAGAGAAAUGUUAUGGAGAGUGAAUGUUACAUGCCUCUGAGAUACAAUAGAAAAGAAGCCCUUGAUUUAAUAUUUUGGUUCUUAGUUUGACUGUGAUUUAUAGGGAGUGAUAUUGCCCUGGGCCUUUCUGUCUCCUUUGUAUCAGGAAAUGAUUUGGUUUAGAGAAAAGCAGGCAAAGGUUUUAGUGGGACUCCCACCAGGAUAAUGGCCUUCUUUGUUCCUAGCUACUUCUUGAGGUGACUAUGGCUAUCCUUUAGGCCCCAAGCAUGUGGACAGAGUCGAGAACAGGGUUAAGGAGAAGAUUUAAGCAAAAUCUCUUUAGUCACUGAGCAAGAAGCACCUAUAAGUUGCAUUUUGUAAACUCAGAGGAUUUGGUCUGUGGUGAUCUAGCUACAUAAGAACUGGAAAUGCCUAGGUUUAAAAUCGGGGUAUAAAGCAACCCAGAGCUUGUUAGAUAUGCAAGAUCUCUGGCCCUAUCCCCAAACUACUGUCCCAGAAUAUGUAUUUUAACAAGGUUGCUAGUGACUCAUAUGCUCAAUAAUGUUUGAAAAGCCCUGCCCCAGACUCUUGAAUAGGAUUGGCCAGGAGGUGGGAAAAGGGAUGGUAGCAGUGGUGCUUGCAAUGUACAUAGCCCCAGAUAUAUAGAAUCAGAAUCUGUAAGAGUGGAGACUUAGGAAUCUAUGUUUUAACAAGCUCCUCAGGGAAUUUUUAUAAACACUGCAAUUUGAAGAUCACAGGUAAGAAAUAAAAACAGUUCAGGGGAGAAGUGCAAUAUACACUAUGAACACCAGCUGUCAGUACUCUACAAUUUAAAAAUGACCUUGAUGGUUAAUAGUGAAAAGAAUUAUUACAAGAACAUUUUCUAAAUUUGAAAUGUAAAGAUCUAGGGAACAUGAGCUCUAAGUUAAACAGAUUUGAAUUAUCCUGUGAUUUUAUCAAAGAUCUCUAGACAUAUAAAUAGUUUACAGAGAGUAGUGGUUGGAGAUUUAGAGAUUUUGGGUACAUGUGAGUAAGUCCAUGUCAGAAUAAUGUCUUACUAUACUUGGGAAAAUAAAGUGAAUGCUUUUGUGGUUUUAAAACCAAACUGGACUCUACAGUUUGAAAGUAUGUAAGGCAGGUCAAUGACUCUUUCUAAGAAUAUCUUUUCAUUUUCUUGGCAUUAUGUCCUGAUGUUACUGGGUUUUUCAGGUACUUAAUUUUCAUGUGUAGCUCAGGGAUUAAAAGUCUUGUGCAGUAUUCAAAGGAACUUUUUCUGUAUUUGUAGACACUGCACCAUACUGGGAGACUUGGAUUCGAAUUCUGUCUUUUCCUUAUAGCCUCGUGCAGAUUACAAUGACAAUUCCUUAACAUCUCUGAGUCUUUUAGUGUGCAUAAAAAUACCCACAUAAGGGUUGUCAAGAGGAGGAUCCAGAUAAUAUAAUAAAUAUGAAAUGCUCUACCAAUUAUGAAGCAUUAAAUAAAUGCAAGGUAGUACUUGAAUGCUUAUGGCAUUGGGCUUUCACUUUUAUAUUUGAUCUUUGGAACCCCACUAUAGCACCCAUUUCCAUAAAAAUGACUCAGGUUUCACUAGGAGCCUAGUUACUUUUCCUAGUUAGGUAUUUUUUUUUUCCCCACCCCAAAUAGCGUUGCCUGAUAAAAUACUGGACAGCCAGGUAAGUUUGAUAUAAAGUUUGAUUUCAUGUAAACAAUGAUUUCUUUUUAAUUCUUCAGCUAAGACAGCGGAAGAGAUGAUUUAUUGUAUGGUUGUUACACUCGGCCACAAGUAAACACAUAAAUAGUCCAGAAUGUCACAGGUCUAGGGCAAAGGACCAAAAUGGGCAGUUUUGGUUAUGAGCAACAUGGGUCUUAGAGGUGAUUGGCGAUCAGAGGGCGAUGAAGUUCUAGAUCAUGAGAUAAGCUCUGGACAGUAGCAUGCAGUCCUACAACUUGUACCAGCAUCUCCAGCGUCUAGCAUUCCAUGUUUCUGCUCCUGUGGCCUCCAUGGUACAAGAAGCUAGUGGUUUACUUGGACAUCUGACUCAUCUUUCUUCUUUUGCGCUUCAACCUGUGCAUUCGCUUCUUCCUCCACUUGGCUCUUAUGGCACAGAGGUUUUCAAGAAAAUGGUGCUAAGGCCGAGAUGACAAUGAAUAAUUUUUUAGUAUGACUAUGUCCCAUGUAUUGCACAGCAAACUGGAAAAUCUAACUCCAAGACCAAAUGCUAUCUACAUUCAUGCAUCUUCUACUCACCAAUCUCAUCUAAUUGCUUACAUCUUCUAUUUUGCCUGUAUGGAAAAAGUCUGACUCAAAGACAGUAAUGUAGAUCUAAAAAUGGUCUUGAGAGAAAUUAUUGCUAUCUGAAAGCUCACGUCUUCAAAAAUUUUUACACUUCCUGUCUAGAAACGGCUCUGGCUUAUCUCUAAAGAGUGCUUAGAAUAAAAUAGAGUCACUUAAGUACUUACUCCUUGGGAUUAUUUUUGAUUUUUUUUUGUGCUGUUAUUCUGUUGACUUUUGAUUAUUCAUUAACAUCUCUUUCUCUGUCUCACUGUGUGGUUGUGGGAGUAGAAGGAGGGAAGAGGUGACUCUCCAAAAUGAAAUAAUUCGAAAGCCACUUACAUGUUGCUAUUAUGAACAAUUCUGAGGCAUUUCUGGUACAGCUUUCUCUUUCCAAUUAUAUUUGGUAUAGCAAAUAAUGCUAUUAAAAUAUAUAGACUUUAUAUAAAGAAAGACCACAUCCUGAUACUGAAGGAGAGGAAGAAGAAGGAAAGGUGGGAGUUCGCUGUGUGCUCAGCAGAAAGCAGGGUCGUCCUGGGGAACACUUUGCAGUUUCAAAGUACUUGAGGAGGGUAGGCCACAAAAUGGGAGUUUAACUGUACUAAAGUAAAUUCUUAAUGACACUUUCACGUGGAUGCCCUGAAGCAGAGGGAGGAAUCACACCAGGAAACCUGAUGCGGGAGAGAGCCAUGUCCCACAGUUUGACCGAAAAAAAUGUUGCCUUUGGGCUCACCUAACUCUGGACACUAGGUGUCAGUAUACAGCAAUGUAACGAUUUUAGGAUGCGGGGUUGAUGUGCUGAAUUAGUGGGGGAAGAGUUGUGAGAUGAUGUUUCGUUUCCUGCUGUUAACACAGGUCCUCGAUUUAUGGUAGAGGUUCUUUCAGCUGUGAUCUUAUGAAUCAUCAAUAGAGACAGGAACUGUGUCAGAGUCACCUCUAGGGGUUUCCUUCAUAUUUUCUUUUUCUUUUCUCACUGGCUAGGACUGAUUACUUCUUCACAUCUCUGCAAAGUACUUAAUUAGUCUCAUCAGGCAGCCAAACUUGAUACCUUCGUCCAAUUUUAGAUACAGAGAUGAUGAAGGUGUUUCAUUGGCAGUUGGGGCCAUUAGAGGGACCCCGCAGGGCAGAGCGACGUUGCACUGAGGCGAUCUGAGCUGAGCACAGGGGUAAGGAUAUAUUCCUGGACUGUGUGCUGCUGUCACCGAGAACAUUUGCAAAUCUGCUGACACAUUACAGUGGGAAUAUCCCCUGGACGCAUGGAAGGCCCAGUGCCCUGUCAUUUGAGCAGUGCAGGCACGUCACCAGCCCAUGGGGAUGUCAGUAUUCAUGCUGCUCUUUGAUAUAAAGUUCGCAUUUUCUAUAUGGUUUGAUGAUGUUUAGUGGGAUCAGUGAUGCCUGUUUGUUAAUUGCUUACAGAAGAUUUGGGCUUAAAAAUAAAAUCUUGGAUCAGGUAACAUUCUCUGUUUUAAAUUUUAUUGAUAUUUCUGAAUUCCAAGGAAAUUACUUACAUAUCAGAUGGUCUUUGAAACCUUAUUUUUUUCUAUUAUUUUUAGUAUUCUCUGCACUCUGUCUUAUAUUUCUGCCCUUUCUCCUGCAUAAGUAAAACAGAAAGAUUUAGUUAGCGUUUGAGGAUGAAAAUUAUCAAGCCUAUAUUCUCAACAACAAUCUGGGAUUUGAGUUAAUUUUAAUGUCCAAUUUGUGUCCCUCUUGCCCCCUUUACAUGUGUGACUUUAUUUUCAGCUAUCUUUUAAUAUUAUUCACUCUUAGUCACACCAACUAUGCUUAUCCCUACCUAAGUCCUUCUCAUCUUGUUAUCACCAGCUGGUAAAUUCUUCCUGCUUCCUUUACUUAUAUAAAUGUGGCUGCUUUUUCAAUAUCAGCUCCAAGCCAUCUCCUCCAUGAAGCUAUCUGGGUAAUUCACAGAAAUCUGCUUUCCUGAAUCAUAGAGCAUUGCUCAGUGUAGCUCAUGAUUAUAACCUAGUCUUAGUUGCUUUUUAAUUAGUUUGCACACGUGUACAUAUACACACACAUGCACACACACACACACAUGACCAACUAGAUUACAAGCUUUUCAAAAGUGGGGGCUGUACCCCAGUGACAUCUAGUAAUAUGCUGAGUAUCAUAUAUACAUUUUCAAUAGAUAGCCAUUUUUUGUUUAUCUCUUUGAUUGCGGAGGCUAAAACAUAAUAGGUAUUUAAUAAAUGUUGAGAGAUCUGAGGAAUUGAUUUAAAUUACUCUGCUGAAGUACUAGAUCUUUGAUAAUAUUAGAUUGUGACAUUUGGUGUGACAAUUCUGGUAGUCAUUAGCAUAUACCUUUGCAAGAGCUAGCUCAAGUCUUAUACCUUCCAUGACAACUUCUCUAGGCUAAUACAGUCCUCAUUGUUCCUCCUGGUCCUGAAUUUCUCCUUCUCCUGUUUCUGAACUCCUAAAGCAUCGUACAUCUACAUUGGGCAAGUGCCUUAGGACUACAUCUGUAGAAUGGGUUUAAUAAUAGUGCCCAUCUAUUUGGAACUAUGAUAAUUAAAUGACAAUAUGUAUAAAUUACUUAGAACAUUUCUGGCAUAUUAUAAGUAAUCAAUAGGUGUUUUAGUCAUGGUUCUCCAGAGAGGCAGAACUGAUAAGAUAUAUGAAUUAGCUCAGUUGAUUAUGGAGGCUGAGAAGUCCCAUGAUAGACGUCUGCAAGCUAGAGAACCAGGGCAACUGGUAGCAUGGCUCACUGCAAAGUGUGAAGGCUUCAGAACCAAGGAAGCCAAUAGCAUAACUCUCAGUCCAAGGCCAAAAACCUGGGAGCCUGGGGGUUGCUGGUGUGUUUCCCAGAGUCCAAAAGCUGAGAAGGGGAGUUGUAACAUUCAAGAGCAGCGGGAAGAAGUUAUCCUAGCUUUAGAAGACAGAGCAAGAUUUUGCCCUUUCUCCACCCUUUUAUUCCAUCUGGGCCCCCAGCCAAUUGAAAGGUAUCUGCCCACAUUGAGGGUGGAUCUUCCCCACUCAGUUCAAAGACUCAAAUUCUAAUCUCUUCGCAGAACAUUCUCAGAGACAUACCUAUGGUGGCCUAAUAAUUUUAAUCAAAUGCCAAAUCACCUGGAGUUUCCUUUCAGCGGAAGAGCGAAGGACUUUAAUUUAUCACAGUCUAGCUGGCGAGAUUGUGGAGAAAAGGGAAAACUUAUACACUGCUGGGGGGAAUGUAAAUUAGUUCAGCCAUUGUAGAAAGCAGUUUGGCAAUUUCUCAAAGAACUUAAAACAGAAUUAAGAUUUUGUCCAGCAAUUCCAUUAUUGGGUAUAUACUAAAAGGAAUAUAAGUCAUUCUACCAUAAAGACACAUGCACACAUAUGUUCAUCACAGCAGUAUUCACAAUAGCAAAGACAUGGAAUCAACCUAAAUGCCCGUCAAUGGUAGACUAGAUAAAGAAAAUGUGGUACAUAUACACCAUCGAAUACUAUGCAGCCAUAAAAAAGUACAAGAUCAUGUCCUUUGUAGCAGCAUGAAUGAAGCUGUAGGCUGUUGCCCGAACAGAAAACCAAAUACUGCAUGUUCUCACUUAUAAGUAGGAGUUAAACAUUGGGUAUGGACGCAGAUAAGGGAACAACAGACACCAGGGUCUAUUUGAGGGUGGAGGAUGGGAGGAGAGUGAAGAUCCAAAAACUGCCUAUCAGGUAUUAUGCUUAUUACCUGGAUGAUGAAAUAAUCUGUACACCAAACCCUGUGACAUGCAAUUUACCUGUGUAACAAACCUGCACGUGUACCCCAAAACUAAAAUUUUUUUAAAAAGUCACAUAUUGAGGUAAAAAAAAAUACAAAUAAUUUUCAUUAGAAAAAACUUAUCCCAAUCUACCUUAUACCUCUUCACAUGCAGUAUAAGAACCUCACAACAGGGUGCUUCCAUCUCUUUAUCCUGAUGGCUGCUGUUCUCAUGUAUUUUACUUCCAUGUUUGCUGUGAAUCCCAUACUACACUGCUCUCAUUUUUGCUUUAAACAGUCGAUUCUAUUUUGAUGAUAUUUUGUAAAAUGAGAAAAUUGUUUUUUUACAUUCCUCUACAAACUUACCAUUUCUGGCUUUCUUUAAUCCUUUGUGUAGAUUUAAUUUUCCACCUGGUGUUAUUUUAGCUCUGCCUAAAGAACUUCCUUUAGCGUUGUUGGAGUGGAAUUCUUUUGGUGAUGAAUUCUCUUCAUUUUGUUCUUCCAGAAAUGUACAUUCAUUCUUCACAUUGGAAAUAUAUUUUUCUUGAUAAAGAAAUGUAGGUAGACAAUAUUUCCCCCUCUCAAUACAUCUGGCUUGCAUAGUUUAUGAUGGAAGUCUGCUGUCAUUCUUCUCUUUAUUGCUUUGUUUGCAGUGUGUCACAAUGUGUCUUAUUUUUAUGGCUGAUCUUAAGAUUUUCUUUUUAUCAUUAGUUUUUGGCCAUUUAAUUAUAUAGUGCUUUGGAAUCUAAUACCAUUCUCAAGCUUUUACUUGAUACCUUAUAUAUUUCGUUUUUGGUUUUUAAAAUUUUGUUGUUGUUGUUGUUAUUGUUUCAUCUUGGCUGGUGGGAACAUGAACAAUUCCUAGCGCUCUGUGAGCUGCAAGAAUAUUUCUGAGUACUCCUUUCUUGUGUUUUUUUCCCAAGCAUGAGUCAUUUCCUCUCAUGCAUGCACAGAUCAGUACUUAGGCAAAGCCUCCUCCAGACCCCACUGCAGAUCUCCAGAGUUCCUUUUUUGUGCAGCUCCUUCAUCUGUGCUACCAUGCCCCACGAACUCCACCUUUUGUAAUAUCCCUGAAUUCUAAUCUCUCUUUCUUCAGCUUAAAAAGACUGCCUAACUCUGUGCUGUUGCCUGGAAACUGCCUACAGGAAGUAAGAUGGUGCAGGUUAACAUCUCAUCAUCUGGUUUCUUUCUCUCAGGGAUCACAGUCUUAUAAUGCCUCUUUUCAAAUGCCUCUAAACCAGUGUUUCCUAUGUUUUGUCUGAGUUUUUCUAGUUGCUUACAGCAUGUGAUGGGGUUCCUUUUGACUCUAUUUUGACUUGAAACGAUAGUGUCCAUGGAGAUGGAGCCAGUUUCUUACUUCCUGACAUCCUAUUCCUAAAGACUAAUAGAAUACUCCAGAGUUUGUGAUAAAAGAGAAUAUCCAUUAAAUUAAUGAUAAGAUCAGUGCAUAUAUGAAUACUCCAGUAAUUCCCAGGUAAUGAUAAAUAAAACAGUCACAAAGAGCUGCAGAAUUAGAAAGCUAUUUGAACUUUGAAUCAACUAUGUUGAAGCAACAUAAUGAAAUACAGAGUCUUCUAGAUACUCUGUAAAGUCAUAGAAUUUUAGAAAGUAUUGUUCUCAUUAUUUCUGAUGCAGUAAAGUUCAAAGAGGUAAUUACAUUGCUUUCUGGCAGACAGUUGACCAGAAAGGCCAAAGUAGAAAUCAUAAGCCAACUGCCUUAAUGGUUUGGGUAGUGGUAUAGGUAAAUGAAAAGGCAAUUUUAAUCUUCUGACUUCAAAUUAAGAGAUUAUAUAUUUAACUUCCUAAUAGAUAAAUACAUUAUUGCCUUUCAAUUCAUUUUUGUUUAAAAACAGCUUCUUUUAGAAUUCUGCUUUGGUAUAUUGCUUUAGUGUGGGCACAAAUUCCCAAAGAUUCCAUGAAGAAUUUAGUAUAUAAUCUCCCUUAGAAAAAGUACAGCAUUUUUAUGAGCAGAAUAAUAAUAUUCAGAAAUGAUAUAAAGGUACACACAGGAAUAUGUGUGUAGCUUCAAUAUCUAUAAGGGAUUAUAAUUUUAACAUUUUAUUGAUCUUUUAAGGUGUUUUGAGUUUUCAAAUAAAAUUGCUCUCUAUUAUUGUGCACUUAGAGAUACUUUUCUAGGCAAUAAUAUGUAAAUUAAUUGCCUUUUCAGGCUGCGCUAUGGUUUCCCAUUGUGGCAUGGAAUAAUAUAUUGGGGAGAUUUUUCUGUUUUAUGGCAGUUUUAACUAUCUUUUAAAAAUGGUUAAAAUUUCCAGUUGCAAUAACGUAGCGUUAAAUUAUUUAAAAACUGUUAUGAAGAAAUAUAUCUCAGGAUUAAUAGAAAAAAUUUCUUAUAUUGGCCAAUUUCAAAUUUAACCACAAUUCUUAAUACAUUUCUCUUUGACAUGAAUUUAUAAAUAGCAAUUAUAAUGAGUAUGGUUCUCUAAAUCAAAUAACCUGUUAAAACCAAAUGAUCCAAUUACAGGUUUAUAUUAAAAAUGAAUGAAUAAGGAAAGCUUUUUAGCUCCUUAAGAUGCUAUCAUUCCUUUUAUAGAAUGUCAAGAUUUACAGAAUAUCAGGAAAGUAAUCAAUCUUCCUUUGAUUAGGCUUGUAUCUUCUCUUUCUUUCAAAUUUCUGCAGACUUUUCAUUUGCUGGGGGGAAAAAUGGAAAGCUAUGGGACAGUGAAAGAUAACAGUUAAGAAUUUCCAAAGGAUUCAAGGAUGUAGAAACAGAAAUGACUCAAAUGGUCAUCACACUUCAAAUUCCAUCAUAAAGGCUGAAACGCUGUAGUCCUAUCCUGAACUGGUCCUAAUGAUUUAGUGCUCGAUUCUAGGCUUGCACAUAGGUAAACAUGACGACAUUAUAGUAUGUCAAAUAAUGCUCAUGAAUGAAAAGAACAGUGAGAUUUUCAAUGUUUUUUAUACUGACUUGUUUCCCUCUAUUUACUUUACUUGACCGCCCCCAAGAAUAGUCAGAUGACAUAAUUUGAGUCAAUAGAUACGUAACGGAGACAAACCAGAUGGCCAAUUCCUGUGGAUUUAUGGGACAAUUCUGCAUAUUUUAAGCAAAUAAUUUGUUCUUUUCAAUUAUAUUCAAAGCUUACAUUCUGUUAUACUGUAUAUUUUAUUAGAGAAUAGUUUUUCUGUGAAGAUAAUACCAUUAGCUGAGUUGCAAAAAAAAUUCUAAAUUUUAAUAUAUACUUUCAAACUAUUUUUUUCAUUCCAAAACUACUUCUGAGGAAACUCUUACAUAAAAUUAAGGUUAAAUAUUUUUAUAUUUCCUGACUUUCAAUUUAUUACCUAUCUUCAAAUCAACAAUUAACUAAUUGAUUUACCAUAUGUUAUAGACAAUAGAAGUAAAGGGAAAGUGUGAGCAUUUACAAAGUCAAUUGAAAGAGACAUUUAGCUGGAAAAUAUUUUGAGCAUUGUGUUUUAACUUACUGCUCUGGAGGAUGAGGAUUUAACUCUUUUCAGCUUCUUUCUUCUAUCAUGUUUAGUCCACUUCAGAACCCACCCACCUCCCAAGAUAGCUAUAUGACAAUUUGAUUAGACCAGUAAUCAGGGUUUAUGUUUCUAUGACUAUGUAAUUGCUCAUGAAUGAGCUAGGUAGCAUACCAUGAUCUUUUUUUCUCUUGACAAUAUUUUGUUCUCCUUAAAGUUAAGGAGGGCCUGGUUUUACUGUCAUUUCUUCCUUUAGUUUUCUAUAAUCAUAUCAUUUUCUUCGACCAAACUCUCUCAAUUGUGGAAACAUCUUCUCAAAACUUUUGGACACAUUAGGUAUUUUGUCACCUUCACUGUCUUGAAGAAAUCUCUCCUGAGACUUUUGACCUGCUCCAAACUUAGAUUAAUUGUUUUCUAGGUCUGCUGUGCAGUUGUGGGAUCUUUAUUCAUGAGUCUUCUCUUUCCUAUAUCAUAUUCUUGUUUCCCAAAUUUCAUAUCUUCCUUCUUCUUACUCUUGUGUUGGAGAAGCACACUCUCCACUAGCUUCUUGAGAAGACUUGCAUAAGAAGUAAAAUUUUUGACAUUUAUGUACUUCUGAAAAUGUCCGUAUUCUACCUUCACAUAUGAUUUUAAUUUUUACUGCAUAUAGAAUUCUAGGUUGCAAAUAAUUUUCCAUAAAAAUUUUGAAAGCAUAUUUCUAUUGUUCUCUGAUUUCAGAUUGGAAUUAGAGAAAUCUCUGCCAUUGUGAUUCUUGAAACUUUGUUUGAAAUUCCUUCCCUUUAAACUUGUUUCUGGACUCUUAAAUUUUAUUAUUUUAAUUAUUAUUAAUAAUUUUUUUAGAGAUGAGUUCUUCCUUUGUUGCCCCAAACUGGUCUCAAACUGCUGGGCUCAAGCAGUCUUCCCAUCUUGGCCUCCCAAAGUGCUGGGAUUACAGGUGUGAGCCACCAUGCCUGGCCUGUCUGGACUCUUACUGGAUUGUCUAGUUCCUACUCACCCUCCCCCUGACCAAGUGUUUUACAAUUUCAUAGUGAUGGCAUUUGGUGUGGGCCUAAUUUCCUUCAUUAUGCUUAGUACUCACUGGAUCCUUUCAAUAUGGAAACUCAUGUCCUUCAACUCUAUAAUAUUUUCAUGGAUUCUUUCUUUGAUGAUUUUCUUCUCUCCAUUUGUAUUUGUCUCUGAACUCCUAUUAUUCAGAUAGGAGUUGUAUUGUUCUUCUAAUGUUUUUCUUUCCUGUUUUCCAUAUUUUGACUUUUUGUCUUAUUUUUGGAAUAUGUGCUCAAUUUUUUAUUCCAGCCCUUCUAUUAAGGUUUUGUUUUGUUUUGUUUAGGUAUGAAACGAAUAUCUAUUUAGGCUAAGAAAUUCCCACAAAUUACAAAUUUUAAAAAGGUGACAAAUAUUAUAAACAUUAUUUUUUGCUAUGCUUUUUGAUAAUUGUUGGUAAUUUGAAAUAACAAAGUAGAUUUAUAAUGAUCAUAAAGGCAAGUUAAGUAUAUUAUUCUGCUAUUGGCAUUACUUGUCAAAUCCAGCAGUCAAUUUAUUAUCUCCUCUUACUCGGUUGUUCUGCAGCAUUUGACAGCGGUGACCACUGCAUACCUCUUUUGACACACUUUCUUCUUCAGCCUCAAUGACACCACAGUCUUCUGGUUGUUUCUUCUGCUUUACUGGUUGGUCAUGCUCAGUGUCUUUUGCUGGCUUCUCUUCCUCUGCUGAACUUCUGGAUAACGGGGAAUUUAAUAAUGUGCCAAGAAUUUAAUCCUAGACCUCCUUCUCUUUUCUUAUUAACCCUGUAGGUGAUUUUAUUUUUUUUAAUAGAAACUUUAUUGAGCUAUAAUUCACAUACCAUGAAAUUCACCAUUUUAAGUUGUAUAAUUCAAUGUUUGUUGUACAAUCAUCAUUACUAUCUACUUCUAUUUAUUUUUCUUCAAAAAUAUAUUUUUAUUUUUAAAUUUUUUUUACUUGAAAAAUCAUAAUUAUAUACAUUUGUGGGCUAUGAUGUAAUGUUUUGAUAUAUGUAUUCAAUGUGAAAUGACUAAACCAAGUUAAUUGACCUAGCCAUCACCUUACUUAUCUAUUGUUUUUUACAGUGAGAUAUUUGAAAUUUACUCUGUCAUUUUGAAAUAUGCAAUACAUUUUUAUUAACUGUAGUCACCUGCUGUGCAAUAGAUCUCAACACUUAUUUCUCCUGUCUGUCUGAAACUUUGUACCCUUUGACCAGCAACUCCACAUUCCCUUCCUUCUCUCAAUCUCCCAAUCUGUGGUAACCAUCAUUCUACUCUCUACUUCUAAGAGUUCCACUUUUUUAGGUUCCACAUAUCCACAUGUCUUUCUGUAUCUGACUUAUUUCACUUAGCAUAAUGUCCUCCAGGUUCAUCUCUGUUGUCACAAGUGAUAGCAUUUCCUUUUUAAAAAAAGGCUGAAUGGUAUUUCAUUGUGUAUGCAUACCACAUUUUGUUUACCUAUUCAUUCAUAAUGGAUACUUGAUUUCAUCUCUUGUCUAUUGUGAGUAAUGCUGGAAUGAAUGUGGGAGUGCAGAGAUCCCUUCAACAUGUUGAUUUCAAUUCCUUUGACUAUAUACCCAGGAAGUGAGGUUGCUGGAGUAUAUGGUAGUUCUAGUUUUAGUUUUUUUGAGGAACAUCCAUACUGUUUUUUUAAUAAUGCCUCUACUAAUUUACAUUCUCAACAGCAAUGUAUAAGAGUUCUCUUUUUGCACAUCCUUGCCAACACUUAUCUUUCAUCUUUUGGAUAAAAGCUAUUCUAACAGGUAUGAGGUAAUAUCUCAUUGCAGUCUUAAUUUGCAUUUUUCUAAUGAUUAGUGAUACUAAGCAUUUUUUCAUGUAUUUACUGUCCAGUUGCAUGACUUCUUUUGAAAAAUAUCUGUUCAGACCAUUUGCCCAUAUUAAAAUCAGGUUAUUUGUUUUAUUGCUGUAUUAGGUCAAUCUUGCAUUGAUAUAAAGAAAUACCUGAGACUGGGUAAUUUAUAAAGAAAAGAAGUUUAAUUGGCUUAUGGUUCUGCAGGCUGUAUAGGAAGUGUGGUGCUGGCCCCUGCUUAGCUUCUGGGGAGGCCUCAAGGAGCUUUUACUCAUGGUAGAAGGCAAAGUGGAAGCAGGCACGUCACAUAGCAAAAGCAGGAGCAAGAGGGGUGGGGUGAGGUGUCACACACUUUUAAAUGAACAGAUCUCAUGGGAACUCACUCACUAUUGUGAGGAUAGCACCAAGCCUUUGGGGAUCCACUCCCAUGAUCCAAUCACCACCCACCAGGCCCCACCUCCAUCAUGGGGAUUAUAUUUCAACAUGAGACUUGGGUAAUGGUAUGGUUUGGCUGUGUCCCCCUCCAAAUUUCAACUUGAAUUGUAUCUCUCAGAAUUCCCAAGUACUGUGGGACGGAUCCAGGAGGAGGUAAUUGAAUCAUGGGGGCCAGUCUUUCCCAUGCUAUUCUUGUUAUAGUUAAUAAGUCUCAUGAGAUCUGAUUGGUUUAUCAGGAGUUUCAGCUUUUGCUCCUUCUCAUUUUCUCUUGCCACUGCUAUAUAAGAAGUGCUUUUCACCUCCUGCUAUAAUUCUGCGGCCUCCCUAGACAUGUGGAACUGUAGGUUCAAUUAAACCUCUUUUUCUUCCUAGUCUCAGGUGUGUCUUUAUUAGCAGCAUGAAAACAGGCUAAUACAGGUGGGGACAAAUACUCAAACUAUAUCGUCCUGCUUCUGGUCCUAAAUCUCAUGUCCUUCUGGUCCUAAAUCUCAUGUCCUUCUCUAAUUGCAAAAUACAAUUAUACCUUCCCAAUAGUUCUCCAGAGUCUUAACUAAUUCCAGCAUCAACUCAAAAGUCCCAAGUCCAGGUUCAAAGUCUCAUCUGAGACUCAUUUGCUUCCACCUAUGAGCCUGAGAAAUCAGAACAAGUUAUUUGCUUCCAAGAUACAAUGGGGGUACAGGCAUUGGGUUAUCAUUCCUGCUCCAAAAGGGAGAAAUCAGCCAAAAGAGAGGGGCUACAGGCCUCAAGCAACUCUGAAACCCAGGAGCACACCCGUUAAAUUGUAAAGCUCCAAAAUAAUCUCUUUUGACACCAUGUCCCAUGUCCCAUGUCCAGGGCACACUAACACAAGGGGUGGGAGCUACAAAAGUGGAGCUCAUGGAGAUAGAGAGUAGAAUGAUGGUUAUCAGAAUCUGGGAUGAGAAGAGGAGGAGGAUGAAGGGAAGUUUGUUAAUGGCUACAAAAAUACAGUUGGGCAGAAGGAAUGAGUUAUAAAAAUCAAUAGAGUAGUAGGGAAAUUAUAGCUAUUAAUAAUUUAUUGUAUAUUUCGAAAAAGCUAGAAGAGAAGAAUUAAAAUGUUCCAAACACAAAGAAAAGAUAAAUAUUUGAGGUAAUGGAUGUCCCAAUUACCCUGAUUUGAUCAUUACACAUUGUAUACAUCUAUCAAAAUACCAUAUGUACCCUCAAAAUGUGUACAAGUAUGAUAUAUCAAUUUUUAAAAAAGAAACCAUUAUCUACGGUCAUAAAGAUUUGCUGCUAUGUUUUCUUCUGAGGGUUUUAUAGUUUUUGCUCUUACAUUUCAGUGUCUGAUCCAUUUUGAGUUAAUUUUUGUGUAUGGUGUGAGAUAGGGAUCAAACUUUAUUCUUUUGCAUGAGGAUAUCCAGUUAGCACCAUUUAUAGAAAAGAAUGCUUUUUCCACAUGGAAUUGACUUAAUAUAUGAAAUUUUGAUUAUGUAAUCACUUUUAAGUUUCAAAAAUUCUGUUUUCCUUUCAGAAUAUUCCUAUUUGGUAGUAUCCUGUUUUUGUUUUUCUCUUAUUUUCUCUGAGGGUAUUCUCUGAGGGUAUUUUAAUAUGACUCUCUGCAGAAAAUUUUUUUCCCUUUUAAAAAUCUCCCUCCUCUACUCUCUUUUUGGUCACAUCUCCCAUGGUACCAUAUUUCUUCAGCUAUCUGGUAAUCCUUGGUUGCUGGUUCUUGAUUAAUAUUGGUGUCCUAUUUGGGGGGCUUGUGAGUAUUGAGCUCAAUUGUAGGGUGAUUUGAGUGGGCUUUUUUUUGGUGAAAUGCUGAUGCCAGUAUAUGUAAGUCUUUUUUCUUGGGUUGGUCAAGUUCUGCAGUGAAUAUUCCUCCAUUCUCUUUCCAGGAGGGUAAAGGUCUGGCUGCCAGUAUUCUGGAAGCUUUGUGGGGGAAGAAGUUAGGGGCCUCAUUAUUCCAUCUCUAGUAUGAUUGUUGUUACUUAAGUCUCCUGUAUCAGGUCUGGUACCACACAUUCAACUAUGCCCAGUCAGUCCCCAGUCCAAGGACUUUAUCUGUUACCCUCUUCCAGAGAAUAAAUUCCCAGUUUCCUUUCUGAGAGGUGAUGGGUCAAUUUCCCAGCAACAGGAAUGGGGAGGAGAUCUAGGGUUCUAACUAUUUAUAAGCAACUUAUAUAAAAAUAUUUUUACAAGUGUAAAACUAUGCACAGUUUCACACAUAUAGUAACCUUGCAUAUAUACUUCUGCUCUUGGUGCAAUGUAACCUUGCACAUAUAGUUUUGCACUUCUACAAAUAACAUUGCAAUAUUAUUUAUAAUUCAAGUACAUUGGACAGUAUCUAGAUUACUAGCAAUAAGACAUAUACACACUCCAUACAAUAAGAUAUAGUAUAAAGAUUAGGUAGAAUGUAUGUUAAUAUGGAAAAAUGUUCAUAAAAUAUUGCUAAUAUAAAACAAUUGGAAUAACAUGCUCCAAUUUAUGUAAAAAUAUAAAUAUGUACAAAUAUUCAUAUUAUUUGCAUGCAUAGAGAUGAGUCUGGAAUAAUAUAUACCAAUAUGUUAAUGAUAGUUGACUGUAUGCCAGAAUUAGAGGUGAGUAUGGUUUUUUCCCCUUUAUUUUUAGCUGUAUUUCAUGCUAUUUUACAAGACAGAUCAGUUACUGACAAAGAAAUGAUACUUUUAUAAAGUGCAAUUCUCAGUUCACAGGUGUGAGCUCCUUUCUUAAGCAGGAACUAUCAUUUUUGAACUCGUGUAUUGUAAGUAAACAGCACAGAGCCUGUACCUAAGUACUCAGAAAACGUAUGUAUAAGGAAUUCAUUCCAUUUGCUUUCUUCCAUGUUAAUGAUUUCUCCUACAUUCAGUGAAAUCUACUUUACCUUGAUGUUCCUGUUUUCUUUUGUCUUCAUCAGUGUGAAUGCUAAGGGAAUGUGUGAAUGUAAUUUGUUAAAGUGGUCUGAUGAAACUUCUGACAAAAUUGAUAUAAGAUUGUUUUCAAAAGAUUUAACAAUAUCUUAAACUUAUAAAUAACACUGUUGAAAUGACUUUUGACUUAAAAUUGAAAAGCUAUCAACUCUGAGUUACUGUUUAGGGGGCCAUCUGAAGAAGUUGCUGCAUCCUAGCCCACAAAAGAAGAAAUGAUAAAAUCAUUUUACAUUGUCCAUUGGCAGACAUACAGAGUGGAGGCAGGAAGACAGGAUUGCUUGCUGAUUUUGAAAAGUGUUCUGAACAUUUGAUUUGGGGUUCUGUCUCAUAGGAAUCACUGGAGGAAACGGUGGGAGUUGUGUUUGAUAAAUCACUUAAAAAAUAAAUUCUGUUGUGUAUAUUUAAGGUAUACAACAUGAUUUUAUAAGAUACAUGGAUAGUAAAAAAAUGUAUAGCGUGUUCACAGAUUUGCAUGUCAUUCUUGCACAUGGACAUGCUGAUCUUCUCUGUAUUGUUCCAAUUUUAGAAUAUGUGUUGCCAAAGCAAGCACUAAAUCAUUUUUACUUAUUUAUUCUCCUACUAACUAGUAGGAAAGAAGACUUGAUAGGGAGAACCAAGGAAGAGGAGGAGAAGAACUCUGCUCACAUCCUUCAUUGGCUCAGCACUCGAGCUGCUCUUUAAUAGGCCUCAGGCUGCCCUUGAAACCCUAGGAUGAGAAGUACUUUGCUUUGCCAGAUUAUCCUGUGUAUCAGUCAGGGUCCAGCCAGAAAAAUAAGGCACUCUAGGUCUUUCAGCAAAUGAAAUUUAGUCCAGGAAAUAGAUUUCACAGAUGAUGGAGAGGGAGUUUAGGGACCAGAGAGAGGGCUUUUGGAUGGGAACCAGAACUGUGGAAGUAAAGAUAACCUGGAAGGAGGUGCAGCUUCUGGAGACAUCAAAGGAGAGAGAGAGAGAAGGGAGAAAAUUCAUUUGUCAUGCCCUUCCUUGUGCCCUUCAUCUUCUAGCUGUGCCUCCAAUAUGCUGAAGCCAGAGGGCGAAAGAGCCUGGAAGAGUCGUUCCCUGAGAUGGAGAGCAGAGCAGGGCAAGGCAGGGAAGAGCACAGACUGGCAGGGACAGGCGCAUUGAGUACAUUUUAUAAAGUUGAGAUUGUAUGAAUUAACUUACUGCCCCUGCACCUCUGACAUGUUUUUACAUGCCCACAUGCACUGAGGCAUUUUCAGUGUGCAUGUGUACCUGUGUUUGUGUAUGCGUAUCUCUGAGAUCUUGGUUGGGCUAAUGUCCUACUUAUGAGAAAAGUGCAAGUGCUCAUUCUAAGAUUGUAUGCAAAAUGACAGCGAACACUCCUGUUUUCAAGUGGCACUUAGCAUUUACAUAAUGCUGAAACAUCUGGUCUUUCCCAUCAACCCAGGCAUGAAGUUAGUCCAGUUGAUUGCUUGGCAUUAUGUACAGACAACAGCUGGCUGGUUAACUGGAGUUUUGAUUACGGCUGAAUUGGCUGGAUGUUUGGUGUCACAUAGACUGAAGUUAUGACUGGGUAACGAUGGAGUAGAGCCAGUUACAGGGAAGAUCAAUGACAAAUUUGUGAAAUCAAACUUUUGUAUGGAAUUUCACUGGAAAAGAUAAUUAUUUAUUUCCAAGACUGAGUUUCAGAAACUCACUGGAAUUUCACUGGAAAAGAUAAUUAUUUGUUUCCAAGACAGUUUCAGAAACACUGAGACCUGGCUGAGUUUAUCUCUGGUGACUUUUCAUUCCCAUUUCACCUCCUUUCACCCAAGUGUCCCCUGCCCUUGUACCCAUAUCCUCAGGUGCCCUUGGCCAUUCACCCUUAAGGCACCUGGCUCCUGGGCUUAUCACCCUGGGAACGACCUCCAGAUUCUGAAUUUUUUAACCUUUAUGUCUCUUUCCCCUUUGUCCCUUUCAUCAAAUCACAUUUGUCCUGUCAUUCAGAGAUCUGCUAUCUGUUGCAGGAUCAACUGAUCUCAGAAUCUAAUUUUCAUGAAGAUGUUUGUAGAUGAUACUGUGCUAAUAUUUAUCUUUUCAUCUUUCCAUAUGUGGAAGUGGUCUCAACUGAGACUGAAAUUCAGGCAUACUUGGCACAUUUUUAUCUUGUGCUUGCCAGAAGCAUGUUUGCACAAACACUGAGGAAUGUCCUGGGAGAAGAAGGAGCCAGGUUGGAUAAGCUCUCAGCAUAGGGCCUUGCCUGUCAGGGGGUGCUGAGCCAGCAUGUGCCAUGGUUUCAGGCACCUAGAGCUGUCUCCCUGCCCUAAUGGAACAUAUCUGAGUUUUGCGGAGAGCAGAGGAACUCUAAAAUUUUAAGGGAGGUUAGGGGUGAGAAGAGAGAGAGAUAGAGAACUGUGUAAAGUACUGGGACCUAAGUGACCAUGCUUGAGAAUCUCUCCAAAGCAAAAUGGAAGUAAGAUUUCUUUCUUGUGACAAAUCUUUCUUGCAUAGAUUUGAUUUCUGGAGAGCCCUAUGAGGAACUGGGGUACUUGCAGGAAUGAUGGCUAAGCCAAGCUGAGGUCAUCACAGGAGCCAGCAGGAAUGGGAUUAUUUAGCAGCCUGUUUCAGACUCAGAAAUAUUGGAAAAAAGUUUUUGAAGGGAUCAGGGUGAGUAGUGGGGUGGGAAAGGCUGAAGGCCUGAAGGCCUGUCAAACACAAAUGGUUAUACCGACUAUAAACAUUUAAAUUAUUCCAUUAAAUAAAACUUCAUUUUAACCCACAUUUUUAAGGUCUAAGGAAAUUCAGAUGGUACCUGUAACAUAUUUGCCUUUUACCAGAACCUUUGAAUGUUUUGCAUCCAAUGCAUGAUUGAUGGUGGCAAUUUCAGAUCAUCCAAUGGUAAAUUGGCGAAGGAAAAAUACUUUUAGGCAAUCAUUUAAGUAUUCUUCAAAUAAUACUUCAUAAAUUUGCUUCUUAGCCCCCUGGUUUUAUUUGUUAGCUUAAGACAUGAGGACUUGAAAUGUCACUAUAUGAUUAUUGACAGAGACUUGGCUGCUACUGGGGAGAGGAGUGUGAAAUCCAAACAUAUUUUUAAAAUCUGAGUAGAUCUUUAUUAGCUUAUAACUAGCAAUAUUACAAUGGAAGUUAUUUUAGUUUAUACAGAUAAUUAAGGUAAAACUUCAGUUUUAAUGAUAGGUUUGCUGAUUGGUUUUACUAUAUUAAUUCAUUUAACAGACAUUUGCUUGGUGCCUAUUAUGUAUUAAACACUUUGCUGGGCUCAGGGUAAACUUUGGUGAAUUCAGCAGAUUUAAAAUCUAAUAUAGCUAAAUCAGGCUUAACUUCCUUUGUUUUCUAGCUGAGAUACCAACUGAAAAGAUUAAUGUAUCAAAACAACAAAUUUUCCCUAAGAAAGAUUAUGCUUUAUAUCAUCAGAAAGUAUGUUCCCUGUCCCAAAAUCUGGACAUAUGAAUAUACAUCAAUGUGUGUGUGUGUGUGUGUGUGUGUGUGUGUGUGCGUGUGCGUGCGCGUAUAGUAUAACUUGUGUUCAUAUCACCAGAACCUUAUAUGGCUAAAGAAAAAUUACAGAAAUUUAAACAUCAAACAUAUAAGUUUCAUCUGUAGAAAAAAAAUCCAGAUUUUAUUUAAACCACCAAAAUUGCAGUCAGCUGCUGAGAGAAAAAUAAAGGCAAAGAUCCUGUUUACAAGGCACCUAGAGUUCAGCCAUCAGAUGGUUUUGGUUAAGAUGUAGUUUCUCUUCAUGCUGAUGUUUCUAUAAGACAUUUUUGUGAGUCAGUCAUCACCCAACUUCCUAGUGUCUUUCUUUCCCUUGUAUGUGUGUGUGUGUGUUUUUUUUUACAAUACCUUUAUAGCGUUGCUUUUAAUUUUUGACAACGUUUACUGAAAACUUACUCCUUUGCAGCUUUUAUGUGAUUUGUAGAAUUGCAUUCUGUAGUAGGCAAAAUUCUGAUGUGUGUGUGUGUGUGUGUGUGUGUGUGUGUGUGUGUGUGUGGUGGGGGUAGCGGGGGUUCCUGUUGUUUCUUUGUGGCUCUUUCUGUCCAUUUUUAACUUCUGCUGGCAAGAUGCUGGUAUUAAAUCUUUACCCCACUAAGUUAUUAAGUAUUUAAGCUUAUAAUAGACUUGUCCUCUUUACCUUGUCUAUGCGUUCCUGGAAAGAGAGUACAUUAGAAGGUUUACUGGUUGUGACUACCCCACCAUGCCUAGAAUAACUAGGUGAUAAGCCAUCUCAUGCCAAGCUAAUAUUCUGCCCUAUGGGAAGUUUGCUAUAGGUAGUAGGGUGUGCCCCACUACACCAAAGGUGAGGGAGUUAAGCUGUCUGUUUGCAAGAGGGUCAUAGCUUUCCCAUAUACGUGUGCCAGGAUUUGCUGACAGGGAAUCUGUCUUGAUGAGCUGCACUGCAUUCUCAAUGCCUCCAGUGCUAAAGCAUUCAAUGAAAAUAUUUUUGAUUGACUUCUCCCACUGUGGCAGUUUUUGAUUCUGCAGUGGGUUUGGAUUUAAAACUAUUGUGCUUAUUGUCUGAUAAUGGGAACCCCCUAGCUGCUCAUUGCCUUAAAAGGAACCCAGUAGACACACCUGUGAAUUAUGUUUCGCACAUUUUCUACCAACUGGUAAAGCCACUUAAAAUACUUAGAUUCAUUUGUUUUAGAUGUAGGAAAAAAAUCUCUCUGUGUGACUACAAUUGCAUGUCUACUAUAUGUGUAUUUGUUUUUAACCAUUCUUUCUGAAAUGGAAACUGAUCAUUCUGGGUCAUCGCUGAAGAAGUACUUACCCCCUUUUCAGCUGGAAAAAAUAUGUACCUGAAUUAUGGGAGAAUACAAGGAACCUUCAGUUCACCAUUUGUCUUGGCUCCUUUCCUUUGGUAGAGAGGUAGGGGAGAAAGGAAGAAAAAACACACACACACACCAAAACCUCAUGGACUAUUCCCUUAACUUCUUUCCCUGGAGUCAUUGACUACUAACUGAAAUAAACCUAUCUAUUCAUUAAAGAAAAUUAUAUUUGCCUAUUUAAAAAGGCCUAUUUUUCUGUAUCUCUUAUUUUUCUUUAAUUCUGAAGAGUAUUGAAUGGAAAAUAUGCAUUUUCUUUUUUUUUUACAUAGUUUGUGAACAAUUUAAAGAAAACUGUGUAAAACGUCAUUAUGCUUUAGCUUGUGACUUUGUACAGAUCUGAGUGUUGUGUGUUCUUCAUGAUGUAUUGUGUAAAUGAUUAGCUACAAUCACAACCUACUCUUUUGGCUCUGACAGCAGAUAUUUUUGUUAGAUUUGAAUUAGGCAACAAAUAGAAUGCUAACUCUUAACAAGUAUUUUUGCUAUAAGUGCUUUUUUUUUUUUUUUUUGAGACGAAGUCUUGUUCUUGUCACCCAGGCUGGAGUACAAUGGCACAAUCUCGGCUCACUGCAACCUCCACCUCCCAGGUUCAAGUGAUUCUUCUGCCUCAGCCUCCCGAGUAACUGGGAUUACAGGCACCUGCCACCAUGCCCAGCUAAUUUUUGUAUUUUUAGUAGAGACGCCAUUUCACCAUGUUGGCCAGGCUGGUCUCAAACUCCUGACCUCCAGGUGAUCCGCCCGCCUCGGCCUCCCAAAGUUCUGGGAUUACAGGCGUGAGCCACCAUGCUUGGCCGCUAUAAGUGUUUUCUAAUAUUUGUAAUAAGACAUUUUAUUUAUAUAACACUUUAUAAAACUUCAUUGUCUUCUUUGAAUCUCAGCUCCCUAAAACAGGUGCCAUUGUCUCCAAAUUGGGAGCCAGAAAGUAUUCAUGACUUGUUUGAGGUCACAAGUUAGGUUAGUGACAGAGCCAGAACCCAAAUUGAAAUUCUUUCUACAAAGGCUGGACACCUUGACCAAGUAUAUCAGUUUAGCUAGAGCUUUGGCAUAGCUAGAGCUUGUCUGUUGUUCAAAAUGCAGUUUUUCUCUCUUCUCUGCUUCUAUAUGAAGACAACAGUCUUAUCUAUCUUGUUCACAAUUUCAGCCCUAGCAGCUUGCACAGAACUUUGAAUGGAAUAGUUAAUACAUAUAUGUGAAUACAUAUAUGUGAAUGAAUGAAGUACAGAAGAUGCUGAGGGUUUGCUUUGAAUAACAAUGCAGUAUGCCUCCCAUCCCCUUUCUGCAUGCUUCUCUUAUUAUGCUAGAAACAAUAUUUGAAGUUUGAAAUAAUGGAGUUAGACACUGCCUUAUUAUUUAAGGAUUUGAUAUGGUAGUCAGGCAAAAAUAAUUUCAUUUAAAUUCCCUAUUUCUUGACUUACUCUGCUAUCUUAGAAAAUUAAAUUAAUCUCUCUGCUGGGUCUUGAGAUCCAUCUAGAACUUGGCUAUAACCUGAGAAUGUUUUGUGUUCUGGUUUUUUCUUCACUGUUGGAGUCUGCUUGAGAAGGCUGGAAAUGUAUUUUCAUUCCAUUUUUCAGUAUAACACAUUGUGAGUCCUCACUGAAUUAGAUUCUUCCCCCUGAAAAAGCUACCCCUGGAAAGAUGUUUGGCACUUUUGGAUAUUGCUCUUUUGUGUUUUUUUUUUGGACCCCCAGGGAACCAUUUAGUGAAAAUGAACCAUUAUACUUGAAUUCCCGUUCAGCCACUAGAAGAACCAUUGCCCAUGACUUCCCAUUCACAAAAGCCAUGCUCCAGCAUAAGUUUCUGUCUGAAGCACUUUCUAGUUCCAAUCCCAUGUCUUUGGAAUAUUUCAGGCAUGCAGGAGAUCUUUUCUGGAGGUUUUACUGGAAUGAUUAGUUUGUGCUUGAAACAGGAGAAGCAGCUAAGGAUGAGGCCUACUGGGACUCUAGAUGCCAUGGAGACAAGCAGAUAUUAGUUAUGAUUUCCAUCAUUUUUUUCACUACCUCUCUGAAAGUAGUAGAUAUUGUGAUAAGACCUCUCAAGGAAGGGAGGACAAUUAUCCUCUUUCUCCCCUACCUCACCUUUCCACCCUAUAAAAGUGUGGCAGACUCAAACCAAACUUGUUGGCUGGAAGCCUAAAGGGAUUCCUCCUCAUGUGGCAGGCUGUCGUAGCAUUUUUAUGAUAGCUAGUGUUUCUUUUGGUCUGAAACUCUGGUAUGUGAAAUAUAGGUCAGGGGUUGGAAAUUAAUGCCUGCUUUUCAUGUGAGAAGGAAUAAUUGGCAUGAAAUGUAGUAAAGAAUGCCUGCAAGCCUGGCGGUGUUGGGUCAUUUUUUUUUUUUUUUUUUUGUUAUUGGUUUUGGCUGCUAUUCCCAGAAAAAUAAUGGGCAGGUUCACAUUUCUUAGAACAUAUCUUUAUCAACUCUGACAACUUACUGUGUCUUGGACCCCCAAGAGACAGUCAGCCUGGAAGUCUUUGCUUGUGCCAUUUCUGUGCUGGAUCCUUGGCUGUACACACCAUGACAAAUUAAUACAGAUGGAAUAAUGAAUUUCUCUUAUCCCUGAGACCAGACCUGCUGGGGAAAACAUCUAUAUCCUUUGAGAGAUUUGAAAUUAGUAUAACAAGUUCUAUACAGAGAUGAUCAUGUUGAAUAAAGGUUUUAUUUUACUCUUACAUGUACAGUCAUCACUGGAGUAUGCACAUAUUACAGGGAAGCUUAGUCUACAAAUGGGUUGGGUUCUAACCAUUAAUUUUGGAAUGUUGCAGACAUUUUCCUUUAUGAAGAAUGUUAUAGGUCUAUCUGACUUAAAAAUCAAUAGGGGAGUAAAAGUACAGUGCAUUUUCAAUGAAAAACAAUAGAAAACACAUAGUUUUAAUACUAUUAAUUAGGCAAAACAGAGGAACAACACAAUCGAAGAAGAAAUAGUUUUUGCUUUUCUCAAAUGUGGGUGCUUGCAGUUUGAUUAGGGGCAGAUGAAUCAAUGCCUUUUGGUGUUUUAAAGUGGUUUUGAAAACAUUCAAGGACUUGAAGGGUUGGAGGCCAAUCUUUUUCUAUUAAGUCUGUGACCAUUAUAGUUAAAAAAGCUCAUUAGAAAAAAGAAACCUGAAGCAACUUUUUUUUUUUCUCAUUGUCUCUUUAACACAUUGGGUUGAAUAGCUUUUUUCCCGAUUCUUGGAUGAAAUUUUGAGCAGAUCUCAGAGUUUUAAAAAUUGCUCUCUAUUUUCUGGCAAUUAGUAAUCUUCCAGUUACUUUAAAGCUUUAAGCAGUUCAGUUCAGCAUAAUAAUAGAAACCCAUUGUCCUCUUUAAAUUUUCUCCCAUUUCCCAGCCAGGGCCUGACCAAGAAUUGGAAGCCUGGUGUGUGUGUGGUGUUUGUGUGUAUGCAUGUGUGUGAAUGCAUGUGAAUGUGUGUAUAAAUGCAUGUGUAUGAGAGUGUAUGUAUGUGAAUGUAAAGUGUGUGUGUGUGUGUGUGUGUGUGUGUGUGUGUGUGUGUGUAUGAGACAUGGCAUCUCCUCUUCCAUCACUAACUAUGGCUUCUAGUGCCUUCAGCACUGGAGGGGGAUAAGGGAGAAGAGUUAAGGGGACAUCAAAGAGCUUACUGAUGUGAUUUGGAUUUGCCAUCAUGGAGGCUCAAACCUGACUUUAUCACAGGGGUGUUUUUGGAGUGAUUUUGCCUGUGGGAGCCUCAACUGCAACUAUAAUUACUGUAAGAUAGGUGAUACCUCAUACAGUUUGUUACUUUUGACACUGUCCUCGAUUCCUGGCAGUUUGCUAUGUCUUUCCAGGCAGUCCUUCCAAGAACUCUAGGUUUGUUCCUUCCUGUGUGGCACACAGUUGGUGUGCAGAAAGUUUGAUUCCUGCCUUGUUCUCUGCAUUGCUCCUUCAGGCCGGUCUAGCCACAAUGUCUUAUACCUGCACUAACAUUCUUUUAAAACUCUGGGAGAUAUUUAUCAAACUCUUCAAGUGUCUCCUCCCCUUGAAGUUCCUCUCACUUGGCUUAAAGCAAAGAAGUAGGUUUUCUCCCUUGGGAGAGCCAUGCUGCCAAUAACUCUCUCAACAGGAUUCUUCUCCAGUUCUUCAAACUGUAGAGGUUUUUUUUUUUUCUUUUCUUUUUUUUUUAAUUAGGGUUCAUUGAUGCUGAUAAAAACGGUUUUACAAUCAUCUUAGCAGUUCUGCACAGGGCUCUGUUCUUACCUCACUGUCAUAUGAUAUUUAGGCCUUAGGAGCCUAGAAAAAGCUGAAGUAGAAAUAAUUUUAUUUAUUAUUCUGUCGAAUGUCCAAUUUACUUCAAUACAUGAAGUCUUCUUGGCUUUUGCUGUUGAGUAUUAUUAAUACUGCUCCAAUCAGCCCGAAUUCAGGUUUUUUAUGCUCACAAGUAGCAUUAUGAGAAAAACUAAAAGAAAGGUAUUGGUAAAAAAGACAUUGCUUACUCUGAGAUAAAUCUGACAGUGAUAUAUGACAGGAAGAAAUGCAAAUGGCAAAGAAAUAUUAAAAACAUAGUCUAGCGUGAACUUGAAUGUGGAAAAAUGGUGGUGGGGAAGGGAAGUUUCUACUAGGGGACAAGGUCAAAUGGAGGACAUCUUGGUGCAUAUUUAGGGUAGACACUGAAGGGGAGAAAAGGAGCAGAAAUGGUGUACAAAUGGCACCAUUCAAUUUUCCUAUUACCAACCUGGAAAUUAUCAUUAUUCAUAGAGAAAACUAUUCUUCAAAUUAAUCACUUGAUUCUCCUUGUUCUAAUGCAAUCUCAUAUCCUAUUCUAUACCACUAACCCAUCAUAUGCCCAGGCUUCUGCCAGUGUUACCCAGGUGAAUCAUUUAUUCAGCAAAACAGCUAUUUAGGAGGCACCUGUUAAGUACAAGGGCCUGUGCCUGGUGUGUUGAGGAUAUACUAUGUUAUGGCAUAGCCCACUCUCAAGGAGAUUUCAGUUGAGGUGGGAAUGCAUGAUUGUAUGAAGGAUGACGUAGACUCAUAGGCCUGUUAGCAUUAGAACAUUAUUUCAUGUGCUCCUGUUAUUGUAUAGAUGAGAAAACCGAGAUCUAGAAAGAUUCAGUGGCCUUAGAAUCAACUAGUUAAGGAAUGACAGAACGAGGGCUAGAACUUGGUUCUUUUUACUUUUGCUCACUGCUGCUUCUACAACCUCUUUUAAAAAUACAAUACCUUGAUACAAUCUUACAAAGCUAUGGGCCAUUUGUUCCUAAAAAACAACUGUGUGCUGGAGCCAGCUUUCACCAGCUCUUACCAGCAGAUUGUGAGCACCUUUUCAACUGGCCAUGGUAAAAAAAUUUACACCACAGAAAUGGACAAACACCACAAACCUGAGAUCUUCUUCCUUCCAGGGAGAGCCAGUUAUUAAACAUUUACCAGCAUACCACUGCUUAUACAUAACAAAUGUGAUAAGCUCAGACACUCCUUCAUGAAGUGAUCGUCACAUGAAUGCAUUUUAUGGAGAAAUGAACUUUAAGACAGGGAAAGGGGAAAUGACGGAGUCUAUUUGAGACUGGAAUUAUGGAGUGAACAUAAUUCUGGGAUAUCAAAUAGAGAAAUUUGGCGGGGUGGGGUUACAUAGGACAGGAGUCCCUAAAUCACAUGCCUGCAAAGACCAGGCUGAAAAAAUAAAGGUGUAAAUCAGGGUGGAGUUAUGAAUAUUAGGGCAUGAGGAGUCUGUGGUAAAGUGAAAAGUAAAAGCCUCCCUAAAGGUAUUAAAAAAAAAAACAAAACUUCCUGUAUUCUACCCACUUUGAAUUUACCGUAAAGAACUAACAAGGGUAAGCUUAGACAGCAGUUCACAUCAAAUAGGACCCUGAGAAGGGAUUAUCAUUUUCCUUCUUAAAUGAACAUUAGUUUCCUUGACACAGUGAAGGCAACAUUUAGCAUCCUAAUUUAUUUCUCUUUUCUUUCUUACUUCUUCCAUGUUUUCACUGGGAAAUGUCUGUAAAUUAUUGCUUUUUGUUGUGUGUAAAAAGUCGUUCAACCAGCAUUUUCCUUUGUUAGUGUGGGUUAUUUAUAGUUGAGUUUAUGGUACUAUUCUCAGCUUUAUCAUCCUGUUUCAAGGGUAAUGAUACUCCCAAAGAAAUAAAGACUCAGUUUUGUUUCUAAGGAUGUUCAUUCAUAUCUCUAUGUAUCUGAAAAAAAUGUCACUAUGCAAAAUGGAAAGUUCAUAUAUUUUAAGGAAGGAUCUAGAAACACAUUAUUUAAUUGAUUUUUUCUUUCAAAAUGUCCCCAAGUUAAUUUCAAAUAGCCUUUUAAACAUGUUUCUUUUUUACAUUAAUCUGUAAGGAUAACUCCACAUUGAUCAACAGCCAUUUUUAAAAAAUGAGAAUUGCCUUCUGCAGAGAUAUCUUUAUUCUAACAUGUUAAAUCCACAGGGCUUUAUACAAAAUGAAAAAAAUCAAUAAAACGAAUGAUGUGAUUCCUAGUGAAAAGUUGUUCUGUAUAAACAAAAUACUGUAAUUUUUAUCUGAAAAAGUCCUAAAUUCUUAAAAUUCCCUAAUUAUAAUUGCAACUGCAAGAAGCCUAACAACAAAAAAUAUUGCUCUUUGAAAAUGUUCUGCAAGCCCCUCUAAUGACAAUGACUACCAUUGUGUUUGACAAGGAUCCCACUGAUGUUUGCUGCCAGGGGUACAUGUCUCUAGCCUCAAAGAUGGACUUAACUGAGGCAUCCCCUGGGAUGAGCUGGUCAGAAGAAGAGCAAGGGUGGGAUGGACAUGGAUUUUGGCAUUCAGUCGUCAGAAAAUAAGAGACAAUCUAAUCAUCACAAUCUAUUCUACAACUUUAGCCUCCUUAGCACAGAUGGACUAACUGGCAGAGCGUAUUAGAGGGGUUUUUGGGAUGGCCUGCUUGCCCCUGUAACUCUGCUAGAGAUAUAAAUGAAAAAAAAGUAGAUGCUUAAUAAUUGUUUGCUGAAGGAGUCAGGAACUGAGAGGUCAAGUAUUGCAAGUUCUCUCACAAUUUUCAGUCUACUUCAGCCUAGAAUCUGGGCCUCAGCCCGUAGCCACAGGUUUCUCUCUGGCUCUCUGCUGCAGAGGAGGAUGGCACCCAACCAAUUCUGUGCAGAAAGCCAGGAGAGUGCAGAAAAUGUCAUGCUCAUGAGCAAAGUUCUGGGUACAAAGGACUUGUGGAGUCUGGAAAUACCUGAAUUUUCCUUGGAGAGGAAAGAUUAGGCCUGAGAAGUUGUUCAAAAUUGGACCCCUCCUUCCAAAGUGUGUCUGAAAAGUGUGUUUGGGAUAGGCUUGUUAUGUAUGGCCUUUAUCAUGUUGAUGUAUGUUACUUCUAAUCCAGUUUGUUGAGAGUUUUUAUCAUGAAGGGGUGCUGAAUUUUAUUGAAUGCUUUUUCAGCAUCUGUUGAAAUUAUCAUAUGGAUUUUGUCCUUGAUUCUGUUGAUCAUAUAUCAUGUUUAUUGAUUUGCAUGUAUUGAACCAUUACUGCAUGGAUGUGCUUUGAGAAGUGCUGCAUGUUCAACAAUAGCCAGUCAGAUUAAAAGGUGCGCCUAUAGGCCCAGAGCUGCCCAUGUGCCAUGGGAGAAGGACCAAUAGCACUAUGAGCUUCCUGCUAGGGCACACCAAAAUGAAAGUGUUUGGUGUGAGAUGUGUACCACAUCCUCCAAGCCAAAAUUCUGGCUUUCUUCUGGGCUGCCAGCUUUUUCAUUUCACAAAAAUUUCAGCCUUUCACUUCCCUUGCUCAGAUUCUUUUUACCCUGGGAUUUACCCUGAGAUUUUUUAUCCUGUAAAAAAACUACCCUGUAAUUUUUUUUACCCUGAAAUAUUACUCUGUAAUAUUUUUACCCUGGGAUUUACCCUGUCACAAUCCAUAACUUGGUUUUAGCUCCUGUUCUUCUGGUUUCAUUUAGUCCUCAGUGCCCUGAAGCACGUGCCAUCAGUGUCCCCUUUCUCCCUUUCUGUCAUCAUCCAGUGGGCUUUUCCCUGACUUCCAACUCCCAGUAUUUUCAUCUCAGUAUCUCAUUUCUUUUUCAGCAGAAGCACAGAAAACAGCUUUGCCUAUGAUCCAUGAUCAGUGAGCCAGAAGUGCCUGGGAAUUAACAAACCCUGGGAGCAGCUUUCAACAAUGACCUCAGGACAACUCCUGAGAUAUAAAUACCCCAGCUCCCCUGCCUCUUGGAUGCAGUAAUUUGAAGGGGUAUGUUCCCUGGCUCUCAGAGUUUCCUCAGUGAGAUUAAACUCAAGUUGCAUACAAUACUAGUGGGACUGGUAAAGCACCCUUUUUCUUUUUUUGUAUUCCUUCCCUUCUUCUUUACCCUUACACCCAGCAUUUCCUAAAAUUGCUAUUUGCACUCAAAUCCUUGUCUCAGGGUGCUCUGGAACAAUACAAACUCCAGCACAUGUCUAACAUUAGGGGCUCUACCUCUACUCCCUUGCCAUUUCUGUCUUUUUAAAAAACCUCUUGCUGAAUCAUCUAGAUUCUAUUUCUACAAAAGGAUGGGCAAUGGUUUAGAGAUAAAAAAGGAAAUUAUAUAAAUGUCCAAAUAAUUUAUACUUAUGCUAGAUAUUCGGUGCUUUUAAUCAUUAGAAACCAAGGUUGUUGGCUUAGCACAUCAAGUGAAAGAAUUCAGUGAAACCAGGUAGAAAAGGGUACCAAUAUUUUUUUAGGAAUGGUAAUAGCUAAUCAUUUAUUGAACACUAGUGACAAUGUUUAAACUAUGUGUGUGUUACUUAAGUUUAUCUCUAUGUUUAAACUAUGUGUGUGUUACUUAAGUUUAUCUCUACAAUAUUAUUAUAUCUCUAUAAUAUUAUAUAGAUAUAUAUGUAAUAUAAUUAUUAUAUCUCUAUAAUAAACCUAAGAGGUAGAUAUACUUAUUCCAUUUUUACUGAUGAUGAAUAUGAAUGGACCAAAGUAAUUUGCCUUAAAUCAGUCAGCUCAUAAUGGUCAAAAUCCACAUUUAAAGAUCUUACUCAUGUCAAAGUCCAUUCUCUUAAUUAGUCUACAGUCUUCCUUAUAAGUUUUCUUUGAAGUAGAUGGGAGAUAUAUAAUCAGUCCUACUUACUGAUUCUGAAAUGCAAUUGAUCAAAUCAUCAUUCUGAAGGUGUAAGAUUACAGCUUUUCUUUAAAAGGGAUUGAGCUGGCUAUAAAUUGCAGUAUAAAUUCAGAUUUAUUCUGUUUCACCGUUUAAUUCUUGGAAAAGACUACUCAUAAAAAUUCUCUAAUGGCAUUAUUGGUAUUAUGCAUUAAGAGCUAGAAAAAUAGGUCAACAUUUUAGACGUAUUUCUGGUGGCGCAUUUUGCUAUUAGUCUACAAGGAUUAUAGCAGAUCACUAUCUUUAAAUGACAUUGCAACUUGAGGCUCAAAUUCGAUGAUCCUGGGAAAGUUGAAAUUUAGUGCCCUGUUUUGAGGUUAAACUAUGGCUGCAAGUAAUUUCUAGAAAACUGACAUCCUGAUAGACUUGAAAAAUAAAAAAAAAAGAAAGAGGAAACAAAUUAAAAUUGUUCUAUCAGGCUUUGCCAGGGUCUAGAAAUCCUAAUUUAUAAUGAAAUUGGAGGUGAGCUAAGAUAGCAAUAGAAUGAGAAGUUAGGAAAGGGAAGAAAUUGACCAGGAACAGUGAAUAUACUGCUUACAUUAUCUUACAUCAGAAUUCAGGAGUCUCCAACAUUCAUUAACUAAAUUCUCUCUUUUGUGUUUACUCUGAUAGUUUUGUAGUUGUGAUAAUAUUAUAGAUAUAGUCUAGUUGUUGACAUUUGGAGGUAAGAGUAUCUCCAACCUGGGUCAGGUAGCAGUUUAGUAAAGUAUUUUCUCUUCAUUAAGACGAGAGGUGUUACCAAAUGGAAUAAGUAUUUGACUUUUCUGUGUGACCACAUGAUAUAGGUGUUAAAUAGGUUUGUCUUCAGAUGCAAACAUCAGAAAACCUGACUAAAAUCCCUCAGGAUUGAUGGGGUUUACUUUUUCUAAAUAGUGCUAAGUCUGAAGGUAGGUGGCUCUGAGCAUUUAGGGGUUUAGACAUGUGAACUCUCCUUCCUGGUUGCAAGUAGCAAUCCUGGCUUAAUCAAGUUUAUACUCAAGGCAGAAAGAAGAGAGAAUGGAUGACAAAAGCUUCCCCAGAACCCACAUGUGGAGUUUUCCUAUGUCUCAUUAGCCAGAACUGGGUUAUGUUGGCAAGCCCUUGCUGAAGCAGAGACCAGGAAGGUGAAGAUUUAGUUUUUCUGCUCAUACUGUGGAAGGUGAAAGGAAUGGAGGUUAGGGAGGGUAUAGAAUUAGCAAGCCAAGAGUUCCUAUGUAAUGCCAACGUGUAAGUAGGAUCUAUAAAUAUUAAAUCUAAGAAAACAAACUUUAGUAGAACAUACCAAGAAGGACUAACUAAUCAUCACGGCUGCCCAGAACUGCAAUGGGCUCCCCAGUAGGUAAUUCAUUCCCUAUCAGAGCAUAUGUUUAAACACUGGGUGAAUGAGCAUUUGACCGAUUUACUGUGGAGAAGAUUUAAACAUUAGAUAGAUAAGUGGUUGAACUUUAUGUCUUCAAAGUUGUCUUCAAAUCCUCAGGAUUUUAUGAUACUCUGUAAGCAUUCCAAUUGCUUGCAAUUUGAAAAUUGUUUUUUCUUUGUGGUUCGCUUUUCUGUCAUGGCCACUGGCACAAAUCUGCUUUACUUUUAUCUUAACAUUAAUAUCCAACAGUGAGAUAUCUAGUCUCUACAAAGAAAAUGUAUUUAUCUCUGACUGUGUUCUUAUCUUAAAUAAAAACCUUUUACCUCCUUCCAGAAAUAUUGACAGAAUAGAUGCUGAAAGAAUUUUUUUCUAAUGGAUAUGGUUUUUAAUUUGAUGCAUUUUAAACUUUCAAAGGCUUCGUUAAAGCUCACACACAUUGUCUUUUAGAUGCCCAGUAGGAUGUACAUUUCUGUAGCAAUCUCGAAGCACUUCCCCUAUUUUUGUACAAACUUAUGAGAUAAUCCCUAUUUGGAUUUGAGUCUAUGUUCAUGAAAGUCAGAAGUUGUUUAAAGAGAAAAAUCAUGUAAGUAGUGAGUUGAAAUUUUGAACUGGGUAAUACUGAAAGUUUUGAAUUUUUGCCAAAUACAGGCCAAACUAAAAUGUACCCUAAUCCCAGUACUUUAUGUGAAAUAAGAUUGAUUUCUGCUUUGUAUGAGAAAAAGCUAAACCAAAGAUGUUCGAAAAAAUGCUGGAAUUAAUAGUCUACCCAAGAGCAAUGAAUUAUAUUUGCCAAUCCCUGGAAUCAAAUGAGUAUUUAAAAUAUACCUGUAAGUCUCAAGACAGAAAACUUUUAUUAUUAUUAUUUUCCUUUUCACAAAUAGUAUCAGGAAAGACUAAUUAAACAAGGAUGUGGAGAAUACAGAACUAACUUAAAAAGAAAAAUCCCCAACUUUGAUUUUUUAAAAAUAAUCCAAAUUGAAUAAAAGUUGAGAUAUGUUCUUCUCUGGUCAGGCAUUAUUAAAAUAAUUGAUAGCACUCGGUGAUGGUAAGGAUAUAGGAAAACAGGCCUUGUCAUUUAUUUCUGGUGGAAAUGUAAAUUGACUCAAGUGAUUUGGAAGGUAAUUUUUAAAGUAUCUGUAAAAAGCCCUAAAAAUGUAAUGAUCAUUGACUCAGAAAUUUCACCUUUAGCAAUUUAUCCUCAGGAAAUUCUUACAUGAGUUCCAAAAUAUAACCAAAUAAUAUUGCUGUGGUAUUAUUUGUAAUAGUGAAAAAUUGCAUAUAACCUAAAUAAAUCAUCACUGAUACAGUGGUGGUUGAGAAAACUAUGGGACAUUUGUAGAGUGGCAAAUUAUGUGGAUUUAAAAAUAUAAUAAAGCCUGAAGAUGAAAAUAUCUAUAAUAUAUUGAAAAAAGAAAAAUGUAGAAUAUUAUGUAUAGCCCAAUCUCACUUUGAUUUUAAAAAUUGUAUGACUGUAUCCAUCUUAUAAAAAGUUUUGAAGGAUAUAUCAUUAACUGUUUAAUAGUAGUCACAUUUUGGGGCUGGAGUUCAGCAUGAUUUUACAAAACAAUGUCUUAAAAGUUGAACUCAGCCUGAGCAACAUGGCGAAACCACUUCUCUACAAAAAAUACAAAAAUUGCGCCACUGCAUUCCAGCCUGGGCAACACAGGGAGACCUUGUCUCAAAAGAAAAAAAAAAAGAACUCAAUUUGGGAACCAUCUAUCCAGUAAAGGCUCUGUUAAGUGUAUUUCUUUCAUGUUAGGUAUCUUAAAAGUAUUCAUGUGGUCCUAGGAAUAGCAAGUCUUACAGCCAGGAUGUGUUGAGAAGAAAUUGCCUGAGAAAUUAGUAAAAAAGGCAAUUGGAGAUAAAUUUACUUCUAGUUCUGGUCUUUACACAGGCUAUUUAUAAUUUGGGCCACAUCAACUAAAAUUCAGUGCUUCAGUUUGUCUGUCUUGGAAAAUGGGAAGCUUAAAGAUGAACUGAAACUGAGUAAUUCUAAGUGCAUCUGUAUAUGAAUGUCAAGCAAUAUUUAUUUACCUCUUUGUUUCCUUCUUUGUGAGUUUUUUUUUUAAGAUGGGUAUCUUUAAGAUUAAGUUAUUCUAAGCACACUAUCUCUGCAUUGUUAAAUCCAUGGAAUGGUUUCUUCUUAUUAAAUUUCUUCGUAUUUGAAGCUUGUCUUGGAGAAAAAUAAUUUUCUCCUUUUCUGAAUAUCCUGUCACAACUAUAAGGUACACUUCCUUAGGGAAGGGUAGGAAAAUUAUGCAGAACAAUUUUCCUAAUGCAGCUAUUCUCUUGUUGAGUCUUUAUCAACUCCCUUUCUUGCAUGCUCUCUGUCUUUUUGCAGGUUUCUAUUUCCUUUGCCCAAAUGGGAUCAUCUUGGGAUUGUAGGUCCUUUGGACUCAAUGAUAUUUAAUAAAGGUCUUACUGUAUAUUCCAGAUCAGAAGGACAGUUCUUUUCUAUGGUUAAAUUUUUUUUUUAAUAAUUCUUACUAUUCAAUGCAAUGAAUGGAAUAAAUGGCCAUUGAGGGUUGGUUGGUGAACUGAAUUUUGUUGUUAUUGUUUUUUUACACUUGGCUUUUUCAUCUCUCAUUUUUUCCCUUAGUUUCAUUAUGAGAAUUUUCUCUUUUUUUUUUUGUAUACCACAAUUAUAGUGGUCGCUCAUUUUAAAAAUACCUCUCACAUAUGUAGGUGGUUGGUCAUACACCAUACAUUAUAUUACAUAUAUAAUGAAAGCUGAAUUUAAGAAUAGAUCACAAGUACUAGGAUCAAAUCUGCUUUCCAAAUGUCUUAUAUUCUAUUUCAUGAUGCAGUUUUGAAGAAAGUGCUAUGACAUUUGCCAAACACAUCUAUCAAUGCAUGGAAUAUAAUGCAUCACUUGCUGUCUUUUAUGCUCAGUGAAGCUCCAAGCUGAGGUGGUUGCCUCUAGACAAGAACAGCAUUAGAGCAUUUCUGGUUCAGUAUCAUUUGGCAUGAUACAGAGCCAUUAAUGCAGGUGUCUAAAGGGCUUUGAAAGCACUUGGCAGGUCAGUGCCUUUUAAACAUGAUUAAUAGCCAUUAAUUAGUUUUAUUUAAUUUACUAUUAUAUUAUAGUCAAUUCUAGAGGUAAGAUAAUACACAAAUUUUAAAUAACCCAGUAAGAAAGAAUACAUUAGAAUUAAAUAACCAAGACUAACCCAAGUCAUUAAGAAUAAAAAUCUUCAAAAAACUUCUGAAUAUCUAGAUCAAAGUUGUCCAGUAGAAAUAUAAUGCAAGCCACAUUCAUAAU
rnacentral:lncRNA from 1 species